rnacentral:rRNA from 1 species
UACGUAGGGGGCGAGCGUUGUCCGGAAUCAUUGGGCGUAAAGCGCGCGUAGGCGGCCAGAUAAGUCCGGUGUGAAAGUCACAGGCUCAACCUGUGAAUGCCGCUGGAAACUGCCUGGCUUGAGUCCGGAAGGGGCGAGUGGAAUUCCUGGUGUAGCGGUGAAAUGCGCAGAUAUCAGGAGGAACACCAAUGGCGAAGGCAGCUCGCUGGAACGGUACUGACGCUGAGGCGCGAAAGCGUGGGGAGCGAACAGG